rnacentral:lncRNA from 1 species
ACUGGAAGGUAGUAAAAGAAUUGUAUAAAAUGUUGUUGGUCCAAAGUGCCAAGAAUAGAAACAUGUAUUCACUUAUAUAAGAGUUUACAAUGAAGGCUAUAUAUUAUGUACAAAGAAAGAAUAAUGACUAAAAGGAAAGAAUAAAGUUUAAAAGGAAUGAAAGAAAAAAAUGUUGUAAAGGAAUGAAAGAAAAAAAAAUGUUGUAAUCAAGCAAUUACGUCUCUUCCUAUAAUCAAGCAAUCAUAUCUCUUCCAAUAUAGUAUGCUGACUAUUAGUUUCCUUAACAUCUCCCUGCAAGCAAAUAGGGGAAAGACAAACCAUAAGCUUGGCCUUGAGAAAGAGAAUCGAGAAGAAGCCCGCUCCUUUGUGAAAACAUUGACAAUUUGGUCAUAUGUAGAAAUAAACUUAAUAGCAACAUCCUUAUUCAAACUUUUCUCCUGAAUAAAAUGAACAUCCACCUCCACAUGUUUAGUGCGAGCAUGAAAAAUGGGAUUGCAGGCAAGGGCAAUAGUAACUAAAUUAUCGCAUCAAAUAGUUGGAACAUGUGUAAGAGGGACUUGUAAAUCUUUGAGAACCAUCCUAAUCCAAUAGAGUCCGGCAACAGUCAUUGCUAAAACCCGAUAUUCUACCUUAGUACUUGAUCGAGCGAUGAUCGAUUGAUUCUUAUCACACCAAAAAAUUAAACAAGGACCUAAGAAAGUACCAAAGCUAGUGGUGGAGGGAUGAUCACCCAGAUUACCCGUCCAAUUAGAAUCACUAUAUGCUAGUAAGUAAAGACUCCCCUUGGAGAAAGUAAGACCAUGAUCAACUGUACCUUUAAGAUAGCAGAGGACAUAUUUAGCAGCCAUCCAAUGUAUAGUAGUAGGAGCGUGGAGAUGUUGACAAAGUUGAUUGAUGGAAUAAGCAAUUUUUGGACAAGUAAGAGUGCAAUAUUGGAGAGCACCAACAGUUUGAUGAUAUUUAGUGGCAUGAGAAAAAGGAUCACCACUAGACGCAGCAAGCUUCGAACCUAAGGUAGAUGGUGUUGAAUACAGCCUGGUACCAACCACAUGAGCACGAUCUAAAAUGUCUAAUAUGUAAUUGGAUUGACAGAGAUGCAAACCUUGAGAUCCACGAGUGACCAGAAUUCCAAGAAAAUAAUAAAGAGACCCCAAAUCCUUCAAGGCAGGAUCAAAUUUUAAUUACAGGAGCAAUAAUAAUAAGAAUUUCAUUCACAUAGACCAAAAUAAAAAUAUGAACAUCAGUUUGGUGAUAAGUUAAAAGAGAGUGAUGAGUCGAGGAUCCAAAAAUCUAAGUUCCAAAAGACAUUGAGAGAAUCGAUUAAACUAAGCUCUUGGAGCCUACUUAAAUCCAUAAAAGACCUUAUUACUAGAAGACAUACAUAAUGCAGAUGGUGUGGAUCAACAUAACUUUGAGGUUGAGAAAUGUAAACUUCUUCAUCAAGAGUACUAUGAAGGAAGGCAUUAGACACAUCCAAUUUCUUGAUAUCCCAUCCAAAGUGUAUGAGAAGAGUCAAAACAAUGCGAACAGUGGCAAGUUUGAUAAAAGGACUAAAAGUCUCAGAAAAAUCAAUGCCACAAAUUUGAUUAUAUCUCUUAGCCACUAAGCGAGCUUUGCGAAGGUCGAGAGAAACAUUCACGUUUUUGUUUAAUUUUAUAGACUCACUUAGUGUCAAUAACUUUAUGAUCAAUAGGUUGGGGACAAAGGGUCCAUGUGUUAUUGGCAAGUAAAGUAGAAUAUUCCCUCAUCCAUUGCCUUUUUCCACUCUGCAGAAACUAUUUUUUGUGUGAAAUUCAAUGGUUCUUUAGGUAAAGGAAUCCUGGCCAAGGUAGAUAUAGGAUGUCGAGUCAAAUAGUGGGUAACGAAAUUAGGGAAUUACUUGGGUUGUGAAGAACUAUUUAUGAUCUUGUCACAAUCUGAUUGGAAGGAGGGAUUGAAUCAUUGGGAGGUAAGGAAGAUGAGGUAGAACGGUGAGAGGAAUCCGUGACUAUGGGUUCUGUGGGAGAGAUGACUUAUUGAAUGGGUGAAGAAUCGUCCACCAAGUGAGAAAAAUUGUCCGAAAGAGGCAAGAUAUGGAGAGAGCUGAAAAUAUUAGAGUUGGAUACUUGUUCACGUGGAGUGUGAUGGGAAUUGAUGAGAGGAGAUAUGGACUCGGUGAGGAAGAGUGAUUUCAGUCAAAGGAGCUGCUUGGAGAAAAUCUUGGAUGCGCAAUAAGUGAAAAAUCUUCCAGUGGACAGGUGACAAUGAACGUAUCCUUGGUAGGAAAACAAAUUUCAUCAAACACUAUAUGCCGUGAUAAAUAUACUCUCUUUGAGAUGGGAUCAAGACAUCGAUAACCUCUUUAAUUGGAUGAGUAGCCUAUGAAGAUGCAUUGUUUACUGCAGAAGGCAAGCUUGUUUGUAUUAUAGGGUCUAAGGAGAGGAUAACAAGCACACCCAAAAGAUUUUAGUUGAGAGUAAUUAGGUGAUCUUUUGAAUAGAAGACUGUAAGGAAAGUCGGAAUGUAAAAUAGGAGUUGUAGAAGAUUGAUGAUAAAUAUGGUAGCGGAAAAGGCAUUGACCCAAAAUUGUUUUGAAAGAUUGGAUUGAGCCAAUAAGGAUAAUCCAAUUUCCACAAUAUGACGUUUCUUUCAGAAACUCUAUUUGUUGUGAUGUAUAUGGACAAGUAAGCCGAUGGAGAAUACCAUGAGAAUUAAUAAAUGAAAUGUAUUGAUUUGGAGUAUAUUCUCUACCAUUAUCUGAUUGAAAUUGUUUAAUUUUACAAGAGAAAAGGUUUUUUGCUAAUAGUUUAAAUUUGACAAAACAACUAAAUCUUCUGAUUUAGUUGAAAUAUGAUACAUCCAAAUAAAACAUGAAUAAUCAUCAAUAAAAAUAGCAUAAUAUCGACAACCACUUGAUAGACACAGAUUGGGAAGUUGGCUAUGGUCCGUCGUGCAUUGUGUAGACGACUGAUGGCUUACAUUGCUAACAGAGCAUUGCGAGACAAAGAAAAGGCCCAAUUCCCUUUGUAGACUAAGGUUGAUCCAAAAGAGAACUUGGCCCAGUCUCAACAUGCUCCUGAACUAGGUGGUGCUUUUGCUGAUAGUGAACUAAAUGUUUACGUCGAGGAUCUCCUUUCGAUCUGGGAUAUCCUAUUCUCUUUCUCUUAAUCCCGAUCUUUAUUCGGUUAAGGUUGAAGAAUCUUUCCUAUUCGGCUUAGUCUUUGCAUAGCUUUUUUCUUCCUUCCUUGGCUCAGAAGAGUGACUUGAGAGUUAACGGACUAACAGACACUCUAUUAGACCGAUUAAAUGGUAAUUGUUUAAGUUUUCCCUAAUUGACGAUAAGGACAAAUAGACUCUUGAAAAAAAGAAUCAGCAAUUGGGAGCUUAAAGGAGAAGAUGAUUUGCUUGGUCAAGCAUGCCACAUAUCAAGAGAGGUUUUGGUCCUAAAUAUAGCUUCACUAGCACAGAAGUCAUUAGGAAAAACUUUAUUCAACGUGAUAGAAUAGAGACCACCUUCACUUUUUCCCUCUAGAAGCUUUUUUUCCCGUUAUCUUGUCCUUGACACAAUAAUGAGUAUCAGUUAGAAUAAAAUAACAAUUGUUAUCCAGGCAGAAUUUAUUGAUAGAGAGCAAAUUGAUCAAGACAUUAGAAAAAUGUAGUACAUCUUUAAGGAAUAAUUUUUUUGAGGAUUUUGGAUAGAGAAAGAAACGAUAUUGGAAAUGGAGAGACCAUAUCCAUUACCUACAGCCACCAAAUCCUCACCAGUGUAAGGUUCCUGCAAAGACAAAUUAGCAUCUUAUUAGUAAUAUGUUGGCUUGUCCCCAAAUCAACAUACGUUGGACUCCUAAAAAAUAUGGGUGCUUUGAGCAACCAUUACAACAAGUUGUGUUGGUGGAUGGCGUCCCUGAUAACUGUAAUUCAUAUGAUGGUAGCAGACCAAGGUUUGGUGACUUGUUUCUCCACAAAUUUGACAGAUAGUGUUAGAAUAAGAGUUGCCUUUCCCACUGGGCAUUAGAGUGGAUGGCCCUUCUUGCGCCUUCGUAGAUCCUCUUUGCGGAUGAGACUUUGAAAACUGUGGCUUGCAUGAACCUUGUCUUAGAGAAUUUUUAGGAGUAUAAUUUCGUUUGUUACGCAACUUUCUUCCCUCAUGUGGAUUUUUGCUAGCAACUAUAGCAAAUGUCGGUUGCUUCAUAGAGGAUAAAUGAGCUUGGUUGUCGAUCAUUAUCUCAUAAGAAAGCAAAUCUGAUUGGAAUUCAUCAAUACUCAUAGUACUAUAUUGUAAGGCAAACGAAAUAUACAUGACAAAAGGAUUAAAAGUUGAAUUCAAUCGACUCAACACGUAAGAGAGAAGAUCAUUCUCACUUUCUAGCUUACCAGCAACUGCAAGUUGAUCGGCAAGGGAUUUGGCGGUAAUAAAUAAUCAGUGCAUAUUCUAUUUCCAUGCAACAGUGUCUAUAGUUGGCGCUUGAAUAGUUGCACAUGGUUAGGCGAGUGUGAAGUAUAUAGCUUGGCUAGAGAGUCCCACACUUGUUUGGCAGAGAUAAAACCAAAAACAGAAAGAAGGACUUUAUCUAUUAGAGUAGCAUUCAGCCAUCCUAGGACAAAUUGAUCCUUCUUGUUCCACAUAAUAAAUUUAGGAUCAAUAUCCUUGGUAGGCUUUCCUCAGGUUAAGAAAUUUCUCAAGACAGGGUACUGAACCAUCCACAAAUUCUAGCAAAUCAUUACUGCGUAUAGCAAGUUGCAGCUAUGAGACCAAUUAAGAUAAUUGGUACCCUCCAUCUUCACCGAAACCAACUGAGAUAAGUUCGGUUGAGAGUAACCAUGGAAAUGGAAGCCAUUGAUAAUAAAAUGACAGGAACUUGUUUUAGUGUAAGCUAUAGAAGCUUUGAUACCGUGAAAGAAUUGUAUAAAAUGGUGUUGGUCCAAAGUGCCAAGACGAGAAACAUGUAUUCACUUAUAUAAGAGUUUACAAUGAAGGCUGAAUAUUGUAUACAAAGAAAUAAUAAAGAUUAAAAUGAAUGAAAGAAAAAAAAAAUAUGUUGUAAUCAAGCAAUCAUGCCUCUUACUCUAAUCAAGCAAUCAUCUCUCUUCCAAUAUAGCAUGCUAACUGUUAGUUUUCUUAACAAGUAGAAGAUAAGAAUUCAAUGAAAAAAAAAAGUCAUGAAAAUAAUUACUACAAUGAGAAAAGAUUGUAGAACUUAAACGCAAUUAAAAUGUGGUGUAACAGAUGAAAAUUGUGGUAUCAAUAUAAUCACCCUUUUUUAAUCAUAUUGGUUGGUUACUAAAUUUAAUAAAACCAAAUAACUCACUUUUCAUUACGAGGAAAAUAGUAGGAAUCAAUAAAUUACAACAAAUUCAUAAUGCCCCAAUUGUGUCUUGAAAGCUUUUUUUAAAUAUUAUUUUCAAACACACUGAUCUAGUAAUAACAAGAUCUCCAAUUGAGUCAUGUCAUUUGUAUAAAAUUAGUUGACAAAGUUGAUUUAUAAAACAACAUCCACACUAGUCAUUUCAAAAAUAUUUUUUUUUAAAUCAUUUGAAAUUCAAAGCUAAGAUUCUGCCAACACUUGUUUUGUUAACCAUUUUUGUCAAUUUUUUUUUGUACAACUAGAUUAAUUAUCUCCAAUUUAUCUUGUAGAGCAUAAUUUGCCCACGCAUAACUCAUCCACGAAUUCUUCAAUAGUACGUAUAAGGUGAAUUAUUAAAGAAUCUUUAAUAGUCAGACUCUCGUCCCUGUAGUCAACACAAAAUCUAUAUUAUAUGUAGAAUAUAUUUCAUUAAUUUAUUAUAUUGACCAAAAAAAUAUUAGAGGUGUUAGAACCCCAAGGCGAUUGCCAUUUUAUCCUGGGAUAAGACACCUAUUUUUUGAGUACUUGAUUGUCAAUAGACAUCUUAAUUAAGUUGAAAUUAAUGAGAUAAAAUUGAAUUAGGUUAGCUAGUUUGGUGGAUUUCAUCGAGUUUAACACCAUAAAUAUGUUCUGUUGUAAAGCCUAAUUAUUGUCAUUUCAUAGAGUUUGCCCUGAUUUAUCUUAUAAAUGGGGGGAGCUGUUAUUAGUCUUUAUUAUUAUCAUAAAAAGAGAGGCUAGAUGAUAUAGGUGUGCGAUUUUCUCUUGUAGAUCUUUUUUUUUAUCAUAUGAGUUACUGCAGCGUCGGGAGAUAAUGUAAUUUCUCAUUGAGGUGAACCUACAACGUGUUCUUGAGCGAAAUAGAAAUGAGAUUUAUAAUUUUCAAUAAAAUAUACAAUGGUUAAUUCAUCACAAAAGAACCAUUGGUCAAGUGAAUAAAAACUACUAUUGACCUGAAAAUAGGGCUGGACAAAACUUCGAAAUCGAAUCGAUCAAAUCGAAUUGAGCGAUUCUUCUUAAACUAAAUACUCAAACGUGUAUCUGAAUCGAGAAUCAACGAAUUUAAUUCAGUUCUUGAUUUUAGAUCAAGAACCAAAGAAUUGAAUCUCCUCAAUUUUUUAAUUAAUUUAUUUUAAAUAAGCCAAAUUAUUUUAUUUUUUCUAAAUAAAUUUGAUAACUAGU